rnacentral:rRNA from 1 species
UACGAAGGGUGCAAGCGUUACUCGGAAUUACUGGGCGUAAAGCGUGCGUAGGUGGUUUGUUAAGUCUGAUGUGAAAGCCCCGGGCUUAACCUGGGAAUGGCAUUGGAAACUGGCGAGCUGGAGUGUGGCAGAGGGGGGUGGAAUUCCGCGUGUAGCAGUGAAAUGCGUAGAGAUGCGGAGGAACACCGAUGGCGAAGGCAGCCCCCUGGGCUGACACUGACGCUCAGGCACGAAAGCGUGGGGAGCAAACAGG